UACGUAGGGUGCAAGCGUUGUCCGGAAUUAUUGGGCGUAAAGAGCUCGUAGGCGGUUCGUCGCGUCGGCUGUGAAAUCCCGAGGCUCAACCUCGGGUCUGCAGUCGAUACGGGCGGACUGGAGUACUGCAGGGGAGACUGGAAUUCCUGGUGUAGCGGUGAAAUGCGCAGAUAUCAGGAGGAACACCUAUGGCGAAGGCAGCUCGCUGGGACGGUACUGACGCUGAGGCGCGAAAGCGUGGGGAGCGAACAGG
rnacentral:rRNA from 1 species